UAGUGAGUUUGAUCCUGGCUCAGGAUGAACGCUGGCGGUAUGCUUAACACAUGCAAAGUCGAACGGAAUACUUUCGGGUAUUUAGUGGCGGACGGGUGAGUAACGCGUGAGAAUCUGCCUUCUGGUCGGGGACGAACCACUGGAAACGGUGGCUAAUACCGGAUAUGCCUAUGGGUGAAAGAUUAAUUGCCAGAAGAAGAGCUCGCGUCUGAUUAGCUAGUUGGAGAGGUAAAGGCCCACCAAGGCGACGAUCCUUAGCUGGUCUGAGAGGAUGAUCAGCCACACUCGGGACUGA
rnacentral:rRNA from 1 species